UACGGGGGGGGUAAGCGUUGUUCGGAAUUACUGGGCGUAAAGGGCUCGUAGGCGGCCAACUAAGUCAGACGUGAAAUCCCUCAGCUUAACUGGGGAACUGCGUCUGAUACUGGAUGGCUUGGAUCCGGGAGAGGGAUGCGGAAUUCCAGGUGUAGCGGUGAAAUGCGUAGAUAUUGGGAGGAACACCAGUGGCGAAGGCGGCUCACUGGACCGGAACUGACGCUGAGGCGCGAAAGCGUGGGGAGCAAACAGG
rnacentral:rRNA from 1 species